UGCCUGGUUUCCUGUAACCUCAUUUCUUGCAGUGAGGGAACCAUCAAAAGGCCCUCGGUGCUGGACCUCAGUGUCAGGGCUGAAAGAUGGGGGUGGAGACGCUCCUUCGGGUAUACUGGGCUGAGGCCUUUUAGGGCUUUAAAGAUCAGCAGCAACACUUUGAAUUGUGCUUGGAAACGUUCUGGGAGCCAAUGUAGGUCUUUCAGGACCAGUAUUAUAUGGCCUCAGUGACCACUCCCAGUUACCAGUCUAGCUGCUGCAUUCUGGAUUAGUUGUUCUACUACCCUGAGAAUUGUAGCUCUGUGAGGAGAAAUAGGGGUCCCCUAACAACUUUCAGCACCCUUAACAAACCACAGAAUUCUUUGUGGAAACAGUUUAAAGUGGUUUCACAGUGCUUGAAAUGUGUACUGUGAAUGUGGCAUAAUACAGCUACAGAGCACAAAGAAUAACCUCUGGAAAUGGCUAGUUUUGUCUCUUAGGGAUGCCUUGUUAAACGUUUAUUAGUUCAAGUUGCUAGAGUUGCCACCUCAACUGACCCUUGUGAAGAACACCUGCAAGUAGUUCUGACCCCAGCUGGAGAAUAAGGAUGCCCUCUGAAUGUUUUGGACUACAACUCCCAUCAGCCGAAUGAUAUAAUGUCUUCUUGAGAUCAGUGAACUGCCCACCAGCACAGGUGAAAAGUAAUUAAUCAGCAAAGUGCCUUGGUGUUGUGUUCCUUCUCUUGAUAUGUGUUGUGGCUGUGUGAUUGUACUUGUUUACCUUUGGAUAAAAGAAUAAACUUGUUGUGGCAUUCGUAUGGAGCCCCUGGUCGUCUCAUGGACUAUUGACCCGUACACCACUAAUCCGCUGCCACCAACCAGGUUCUCCCUGACAUUUCCAAAAGAACAGGCAAACGCCACACUUGUAUGCUGUAUGCGGGGUUUGAGCAACAUUGAGUUUGUUCCACAGAACCUUUGAGAACCAGAUAUUACCAUUACUAGCCAGCACAGCUGUGCUGCCUGGAGCCGUUGGGAGUUUUAGCCAAGAAAAUAAUGGAAGGCAGCUUUGGGAUUUACAAAACACAAGACGUUUUGCAGCCUUGGAGUGGGUGGUAAAUGGCUUGCAGGGGUGGAUAGUGGGGGAGGUGGACAAUAGGGAUAAAAUACAACACUUUUUUUCAGCCACAAUUCACCAGAACCCAGUUCUGGCACCUCUCAGAACAUUUGGUGCCAUUGCCAUCCUAAGAGAAUGAGGGAAGUGUUUUUGGUGAGUUCUGGCACCCCUUUUUCUAGAAAAACAGCACUGGUAAAAGAGAAUUUGGUCUGAUAUGACUAUUGAAAUUGUAGUCUGCCUAUAUUUUCCUUUCAACCUAUCCAUAUUUGGGGUUGGUUUAGAAGGCAUCUCUUAUCACUGGAAAGAACAGGCUUUCUGUACACUGAGAAGGAUUUUAAUGGCAUCGGCUGAGCUGGCGUCCUCUGGAGGCAGCCUCAAUGAAGGAAGUGUCUUUUGAUGCUGGCUACCAUCUUGGAGUAGGUUUGGUUAUGUCAAUGCUACAAAAGCAAGCAGGUGUACUUGUAGAAGGUCACCUGUGUAGCAUCUGGCCCCACAGACAUGGAAUCUGUUGUUACCGUCUUGAAGAAAAUGUACUGGGAGACUGUUGUCAAGACAAGCUGAUAAUAUUGAACCAACUCAAGGUAUGCUGAUAAAAGAGUGUAAGAAGAGCCUUGCUAGCUAUGAACAGGUUUCUUGGAUCAUACCAAAGGUCCAUUUAGUGCAGCUCAUAAUGAUCAAUAAGAUUCAUCUGAGAAGCUCAAAAGCAGGGGACAGUGGGGGUUUUUUGUUUAAAAAAACCCAGAAGCUUUUUUAUUAGGAAUUGUAGGUACCAAUAUUCCAAAGGAGCAGAAAAGACUUGUUAUGUAUGUGACAACAGCCACACGGAUGCUACUAACCCAGAGAUGGAAAGAAGGCAAAGUCCCCACCAGAGAGGAAUGACAAACAAAGCUGAUGGACUACACCGAAAUGGCAAAACUGACAAGAAAACUCAGGAACCAAGAAGUCAAAAGCUUCAAGAAAGAAUGGGGAAAAUGUGUAAUUUGUUUAGGAGACCACUGUAAACAGAUGAAAACUUUAGCAGGAUUUUAAUAACACUUGCAAUGUAACAAACAAUAUGGACAAUAUGGACAGAUACAAAAUAUAGAUCAUAAAAUAAUAUGCAGUUGAAAAUGUUGACAAAAAGACCCAUGGAGGGGAUGGUGGGAAGUCUCGAGAAUUAGAUAAAUCUCUACAUGGAUAUGUAUUUGGUACUGUUAUAACUUUGUAAAAUGAAAUAAAAAUGAUCCCCUCCCCUCCCAAAAAGCAGGGGACAGAGCUAA